GACGUAGGAGGCGAGCGUUGUCCGGAUUCAUUGGGCGUAAAGAGCUCGUAGGCGGCUUGUCGCGUCGACUGUGAAAUCCCGCGGCUCAACUGCGGGUCUGCAGUCGAUACGGGCAGACUAGAGUGCGGUAGGGGUGACUGGAAUUCCUGGUGUAGCGGUGAAAUGCGCAGAUAUCGGGAGGAACACCGGUGGCGAAGGCGGUUCUCUGGGCCUGUACUGACGCUGAGGAGCGAAAGCGUGGGGAGCGAACAGG
rnacentral:rRNA from 1 species